AAAGACGGUCUUGCUGUCACUUAUAGAUGGAUCCGCGCUGCAUUAGCUAGUUGGUAAGGUAACGGCUUACCAAGGCAACGAUGCAUAGCCGACCUGAGAGGGUGAUCGGCCACACUGGAACUGAGACACGGUCCAGACUCCUACGGGAGGCAGCAGUAGGGAAUCUUCCGCAAUGGGCGAAAGCCUGACGGAGCAACGCCGCGUGAGUGAUGAAGGUCUUCGGAUCGUAAAACUCUGUUAUUAGGGAAGAACAUAUGUGUAAGUAACUGUGCACAUCUUGACGGUACCUAAUCAGAAAGCCACGGCUAACUACGUGCCAGCAGCCGCGGUAAUACGUAGGUGGCAAGCGUUAUCCGGAAUUAUUGGGCGUAAAGCGCGCGUAGGCGGUUUUUUAAGUCUGAUGUGAAAGCCCACGGCUCAACCGUGGAGGGUCAUUGGAAACUGGAAAACUUGAGUGCAGAAGAGGAAAGUGGAAUUCCAUGUGUAGCGGUGAAAUGCGCAGAGAUAUGGAGGAACACCAGUGGCGAAGGCGACUUUCUGGUCUGUAACUGACGCUGAUGUGCGAAAGCGUGGGGAUCAAACAGGAUUAGAUACCCUGGUAGUCCACGCCGUAAACGAUGAGUGCUAAGUGUUAGGGGGUUUCCGCCCCUUAGUGCUGCAGCUAACGCAUUAAGCACUCCGCCUGGGGAGUACGACCGCAAGGUUGAAACUCAAAGGAAUUGACGGGGACCCGCACAAGCGGUGGAGCAUGUGGUUUAAUUCGAAGCAACGCGAAGAACCUUACCAAAUCUUGACAUCCUUUGACAACUCUAGAGAUAGAGCCUUCCCCUUCGGGGGACAAAGUGACAGGUGGUGCAUGGUUGUCGUCAGCUCGUGUCGUGAGAUGUUGGGUUAAGUCCCGCAACGAGCGCAACCCUUAAGCUUAGUUGCCAUCAUUAAGUUGGGCACUCUAAGUUGACUGCCGGUGACAAACCGGAGGAAGGUGGGGAUGACGUCAAAUCAUCAUGCCCCUUAUGAUUUGGGCUACACACGUGCUACAAUGGACAAUACAAAGGGCAGCGAAACCGCGAGGUCAAGCAAAUCCCAUAAAGUUGUUCUCAGUUCGGAUUGUAGUCUGCAACUCGACUACAUGAAGCUGGAAUCGCUAGUAAUCGUAGAUCAGCAUGCUACGGUGAAUACGUUCCCGGGUCUUGUACACACCGCCCGUCACACCACGAGAGUUUGUAACACCCGAAGCCGGUGGAGUAACCUUUUAGGAGCUAGCCGUCGAAGGUGGGACAAAUGAUUGGGGUGAAGUCGUAACAAGGUAGCCGUAUCGGAAGGUGCGGCUGGAUCACCUCCUUUCUAAGGA
rnacentral:rRNA from 1 species